rnacentral:misc_RNA from 1 species
AAUGUCAUAACAAGGGUUUUCUGUAGGUGAACCCUGCAGAAGGAUCAUUAUUGAAUUGUUAAAAUGGGGGAAAUCUUUUCGAGAUUCCCUCUACAUUCUUUUAUUCCUAACACCUGUGAAAUCGUUGCUGAGUUCGCUCAGUAGCAACAUUUUAUUAUACACACAUAAUAGUUUAGAAACGUAAAAAUUAUAUAAUAAAAUUACAA